AACGAACGCUGGCGGCAGGCUUAACACAUGCAAGUCGAGCGCCCCGCAAGGGGAGCGGCAGACGGGUGAGUAACGCGUGGGAAUCUACCUUUUGCUACGGAAUAACUCAGGGAAACUUGUGCUAAUACCGUAUGUGCCCUUCGGGGGAAAGAUUUAUCGGCAAAGGAUGAGCCCGCGUUGGAUUAGGUAGUUGGUGGGGUAAUGGCCUACCAAGCCGACGAUCCAUAGCUGGUCUGAGGGGAUGAUCAGCCACAUUGGGACUGAGACACGGCCCAAACUCCGACGGGAGGCAGCAGUGGGGAAUAUUGGACAAUGGGCGCAAGCCUGAUCCAGCCAUGCCGCGUGAGUGAUGAAGGCCCUAGGGUUGUAAAGCUCUUUCACCGGUGAAGAUAAUGACGGUAACCGGAGAAGAAGCCCCGGCUAACUUCGUGCCAGCCGCCGCGGUAA
rnacentral:rRNA from 1 species